AAAGGAAUUGACGGGGGCCCGCACAAGCAGUGGAGUAUGUGGUUUAAUUCGAAGCAACGCGAAGAACCUUACCAGGUCUUGACAUCCAUGUAACCCUUCAGAGAUGAGGGGGCGCCCUUCGGGGAAACAUGAGACAGGUGGUGCAUGGUUGUCGUCAGCUCGUGUCGUGAGAUGUUGGGUUAAGUCCCGCAACGAGCGCAACCCUUGUUUUUAGUUGCUACGCAAGAGCACUCUAAAGAGACUGCCGUUGACAAAACGGAGGAAGGUGGGGACGACGUCAAAUCAUCAUGCCCCUUAUGACCUGGGCUACACACGUACUACAAUGGCCGUUAACAACGGGAAGCGAAGCCGCGAGGUGGAGCAAAACCCCAAAAACGGUCUCAGUUCGGAUUGCAGGCUGAAACCCGCCUGUAUGAAGUCGGAAUUGCUAGUAAUCGCAGAUCAGCAUGCUGCGGUGAAUACGUUCCCGGGCCUUGUACACACCGCCCGU
rnacentral:rRNA from 1 species